rnacentral:misc_RNA from 1 species
AAAGUCGUAACAAGGUUUCCGUAGGUGAACCUGCGGAAGGAUCAUUAUUGUCGUCUACGUGGCCUUCGGGCCCCAAACACAAUAACCCUUGUCUUUUUUUGUGCACCCUUUGUUUCCUCGGCAGCUUUGCCUGCCAACGGGGACCCUUCAAAACGCUUUGUAAUACCUGUAAUCGUCUGAUAUAACAAGCAAAAAUCAAAACUUUCAACAACGGAUCUCUUGGUUCUG